rnacentral:rRNA from 1 species
UACGAAGGGGGCUAGCGUUGCUCGGAAUCACUGGGCGUAAAGGGUGCGUAGGCGGGUCUUUAAGUCAGGGGUGAAAUCCUGGAGCUCAACUCCAGAACUGCCUUUGAUACUGAGGAUCUUGAGUUCGGGAGAGGCGAGUGGAACUGCGAGUGUAGAGGUGAAAUUCGUAGAUAUUCGCAAGAACACCAGUGGCGAAGGCGGCUCACUGGCCCGAUACUGACGCUGAGGCACGAAAGCGUGGGGAGCAAACGGG